rnacentral:rRNA from 1 species
UACGUAGGGGGCUAGCGUUGUCCGGAAUCAUUGGGCGUAAAGCGCGUGUAGGCGGCCCGGUAAGUCCGCUGUGAAAGUCGGGGGCUCAACCCUCGGAUGCCGGUGGAGUACUGUCGGCUAGGAGUGCGGAAGAGGCGAGUGGAAUUCCUGGUGUAGCGGUGAAAUGCGCAGAUAUCAGGAGGAACACCAAUUGCGAAGGCAGCUCGCUGGGACGUGACUGACGCUGAGACGCGAAAGCGUGGGGAGCAAACAGG